rnacentral:rRNA from 1 species
GACGAACGCUGGCGGCGUGCCUAAUACAUGCAAGUAGAACGCUGAAGGAGGAGCUUGCUCUUCUGGAUGAGUUGCGCACGGGUGAGUAACGCGUAGGUAACCUGCCUGGUAGCGGGGGGUAACUAUUGGAAACGAUAGCUAAUACCGCAUAACAGUAGAUGUUGCAUGACAUUUGCUUAAAAGGUGCAAUUUUACCACUACCAGAUGGACCUGCGUUGUAUUAGCUAGUUGGUGGGGUAACGGCUCACCAAGGCGACGAUACAUAGCCGACCUGGGAGGGGGAUCGGCCACACUGGGACUGAGAAACGGCCCAGGCUCCUACGGGAGGCAGCAGUAGGGAAUCUUCGGCAAUGGACGGAAGUCUGACCGAGCAACGCCGCGUGAGUGAAGGAGGUUUUCGGAUCGUAAAGCUCUGUUGUAAGAGAAGAACCAGUGGGAGAGUGGAAAGUUCACACUGUGACGGUAUCUUACCAGAAAGGGACGGCUAACUACGUG